GCCCCCCCCCCGCCCGCCCGGCGGCGCGGUCGCGCGCCCCCUCAGGGGCGGCUGAGGGGGAGCGGCGGGAGCGGGCCGGGGUUUCUGCAGCGCUCCUCGGCUCUGGGGUUCGCUCCGCGGCCGCAGAGGAAGGAGCCGUGGCGAGGAACGACGCGGCUCUGCCGCGGUGCAGGCGCUUCGGAAGGUGUCGCUUGCGAAAGCUGUCAGCGCUUCCCGUGGCGUGCGCCGGAGAGAGGAGGAAGGCUGCGGUGCGAUGGGGCCCUCCCGGAGGAACAGCCCCAGGCUCGCUGCUGUGGGAGGAACGAUCUUGCCACAUCGGAGCUGCAGAAAGGUCAAGCCGGAGUUGCCUUCUCGCUGAUACAGAAACCACUGUGGUGUUAGAAUGGAGGUAAAGGAUUUCUCUGCAGUUCCAUCCAGGGCAGUAAAAAACACCAGCACUGUGACAAGAGGAAGUGCAAGUAAUUAAUACCAGAAGAUCAAAUGAAAGGAGUGGCUUUGCAAGAGCUGAGCACUCGGUGCCUGUUGUGUUCAGAGGACUCCCAAACCCAAACAUGACAGAUCACUGCUGGACACGUUGCUCAGACAGCAUUUUGCAUUGCUGCUCUUGUGGAUGGAUUGUAAAGGCGGCAAGUUGAAGUGUGGAGGAAGCUGAUAAUGCUUUUUCAGUUCCUGAGGACUUCAAGCAGCUAUGAAAGUUAUAGGACAUCAGCAGACACCAACAAUCAGCUCACAAACAGCUGCUGAGAAGUUGAAGACAAACAUCUACAGAACCACUGAAGCAUAAAUAGUGCAGGAGCACCUGAAAAUGCAACUGUUGAGAAGGAGCACAGCACCAGAGAUCCCUUCCCCUGACACAAGAUUUGGUAACUGGAGCCAGUAGGCACCCAGCUGCAGGGAGAGGAUCAUCUUCAUCACCCUAAAGCACCAGGAAAGGAAUUUCCAGGUGGAAUUAGCAAAGCCUCCACCCCUACAGUCCGAGCAGUUGCUGAGUAUCAUUAAUCAUUCCAUCAAAUGGAGCAUUCACCACCCUCCUGGCUCCAAGAAGAUAUUCCACCCAGCAGGGAAUCAAACCUACUGUAAAGAAAAACCCAAACCCGAAUUCCUGCUGGCAGCAGAGACACCCGAGAGGAGAGGAGAGGCAUUAACAGAGCAACUGGCACCCAGGGAGGCAGCAAUUCUGCUGUGCUUCGGAAAACCGAGCUGGUUCCAGAGCUCACAGGAAAGACUCUGAAGCAGCUUUAAACGAAGUGCAUCUUCAGGAACAGCCAGUCAGAGAGACUGUCACCUCAACAGCUGCAAGGUCACCGCCCAGCAGGGACAGUCUCUCUCUUUACCUCUGAAAUGUCCAAUCUGGUCUGUAACAGCUCAGAGGGAGCGCUUUAAAUAUAAAUAGGUAAACUAAAAAGUCAAAAGCCAAGAGCUGCCAGACAACGUGAUGCAGGAGGCUGUGUAGGAGUCCCCGGUGCCCUGGAGGCUGCGCGGCUCCGGGCCAUCCUCCCCCGCCCGGCUGGGAGACACCAGGCAGCCAAUUCCUACCGAGAGAAAGGCACCAGAGACACUGAACGCGUGAAACGCCCCAAAUCAGCGCCAUUGAAAUGCGAGGAGCAUCCAGGGGUUGGGAUUGCUCCCUGCCCUGAGCCUGGGCACGGCCCAGCAGGGCAGCCCGCAGCUCCUGCGGCUCUGUGCUCCCUGGCAAGGCAGCUGUGGCAUGCAGCCACACACAGAAUCCACCCAGCCAAACCCCAGGGGACAGACCGGGCUCACCAGGGCCAGCUCUGCCUUCCAGCCACUUUAAGGGGUUUUCAGGUUCCCAGACACCAUCAGAGAGGUCAAUGGAAAUGAAUCGGUUCAGCAUCCUCACCUGAACAAAAGCAGGGAAUCCAGACUGUCUCCAUGGUUUCCCAGCAGCACAAAGUCCUGAAGUACUUGCAGUGUCAUAGCAACAAGCUCCAGCCCAGCCUAAAGAAAAUUCUGUUCUUUUAGACCACAGGAUGUUAUUUAUGAUGAUCCUGGAGAGCCCUAAGAGUUGUGCAUCAACACCAGGACUGGAUGAAGGCUCUGCAAGUACCAGACCUACCUUCAGUCCAUCAUUCCUCUUGUAUAAACCCCAAUCGUGGCAGAGCAGCUUUUGGAGGCAGCAGCAGCUGCUCCUUUCCUUGCUGGGGCAGAAACUCCUCUUCCAGGGACUUGGCAGGGCUGGAUCACCACUGGGCUUGAUAAUUCUGGGAUUCUGAAUGACUCUGGCUGCACUUUGGGGUUGGCCACAUUUGAUUCAUGGCUCAAUCCAGGCUUUAAGGAAACAUCAGAAAUAUCAAUAAUUUGUCCCAAAAGUCUUUCGGUGUGACCAACAAAACCCCCAAAGAUCCUCCACUCCCCCUGCUGGAGUGGCACAGCUGGGUGGGGCUCAGUUACUGCCUUCAGCUCUGAGCCAAGCCAGAACAAACCCUCCCAGACCCCUUUGGGGGACCAUUCUCAGAACCACAACAACAAAUUUCCUUUUUAAAUGUGCAUCCCACCCCCAAACCUGGCCAGGGGCCUGGGAUUCCUGCCUGUGCUGGCCCUGGGAGGAUGGUGUGUCUCACCCUGGAUCUUGAGGAAUUUUCCCUGGAUAACAGAAUAAUGCCUCCAGCUAAAGGUGAACCCAGUGCAGGAAUGCCUGUGGAUGCCUCAGGAAAACACUGGCUGCCCCCAAAGUGUCAAACUGGCUUAAGAGGGAACUGAGCAAGGCUGCUCAGGACUUGGAUUAUCCCACAAUUUUUCCAGUAGGAUUUGAGGUGACUUAGAAGUGACAGGAAAGCUCUCAAGGAAAACUGAGCUCUGCCAGAAAUAACCUCAGUUUCCUGACCAGGAGACGUGGGCAAAGGAAAGAUUUCACCUUCAGGGGUUCCUGCUCCAAGCAGGAUCAGAAAAGCUUUGGAAUAAACUGCAGCAUGCAAUGUUACAGGGAUUGCCUUUCCUGCUGCUACAUUGCAGAUGAUGGCAGAGGCAGCUGGACUUGCUCUCCCCAAAAUCAGCAGAACAGCAUAAUUCAUACCUCAGUUUUCCCUUCACCAGGGCAGAACGUUCAGGGUUGCUGCUGUUAAUUCCUCCUUUACACCAGCAAAUAGAAUUAUUUUGGAGUCUGCUGUUGUUGGCUUUUUCCUGGCAGUCUGGAUGCAGCACUCCCCAGUUGUCCUUUCCCUGGGGAAGAACUGAGAGAGCUGCAGGAGCACUCACAGCCAGCCAGGGAGAUCCAUUCCAUCAUGGAAUCCAGGCUGCAGGAGCAGAGCUGGCACUGCCACGGCCCCAGGGACUCUGGGGUCACCUUGUGAGCCUGGCCUGGGCUCCAGAGCCAGGAGAGUGUCCCAGGGCCUUUGAAAAUGGAAAUCUCAGCCCUGUGAGACAAGGGGAGGCCUCUGCAGAGCUGGGGAGCUGCAGGUCACACAAACCUGAUGGUUUAGAAAUAAAAACCCCCAGAAAUGCUGACUUUUAACCCACUCUGAGCUCAGGCAGCCUCACAGGGUGGUGGUGCCAGCACACACUUGCCAGAGAGAAUUUGUGGCUAAUUUAGGGGGGCAAAAAAAAACCCCAAGAAGCAGAGAAGGAUCUGGGAAGGAUCCACAUCCUGGAAGUCCCACAGGCUCCCCCUCCCCCUGUCACACUGCACAGCUUCCAACACAAGCCCCACUUGUAAGGGCUCACCCCAAAGGCAGGGAUUCCCCCUGUCCUGGGCAGCACUGUGGGGAGGGAGCUGUCACCAAUUGAGUGCAGAUACUCCAGGCUGCAGGAACACUCUAUUUAUUAGGUCAAUAUUCCAUUUGAGCAAUACAGUUACAGAAUAUCACAAUGCUGGUUACAAACAUAGGAUGGCUCCGUGGGCACAAAGGAUGGUGGUGAGAAGUGGGGUACGAAACCUUCCUGACACCACAGGGAGGGGCUGCAAGGUCUACUAAUGAGCAAGAUAUUUUAUAUAAAUGAACGUGGCACUACAGGUGGAGAUUCUGGUUUAGAGGUGGGUUUGUGUCAUUAGUUCAAUUUAUACAGUUAUACAGUUCAAGCAACAUAUUUUUCUUUUUUUUUUUUAAUGCUAUUAAAUUAAAAUCCCCUGUAGUUCAAUAAAGUAUAAAAAUAGUACUGAACCCGGUAAUAUUCAAUAAAAUGUAGAAUUCAUUCACAUCAUUAAGUAGUAAAGAAAUUGUAAAGUUGUAGUUACCAUGGCAACAUUGCUUCCCAGAAAGGAAUAUACAGAAAAGAAAAGUUACACAUAAGGUACCUGCGACGAGUAUUAGCGAUCCAACACUGAACUUGUGCACCACAAACCAAGUUUCUAAAUAUCUCUAUAUAUUUAUAUAGUAUAUAUCUUUUUCAUCUUUAAAUUUACUUUUGAAAAGAAAAAAAGAAAAUGUGCACUUCAACAAACUCACUAAGGCCACUCAUGCUAUAGAUACGGAGGAUUGGAGGAGUGGAAUACGAGAGCCCAGAGCACACACUUCACACCACCAGGGACACCUGUGGCACUGCCCAAAACGUUCCUGAGA